GGAGGGUUGGCCGAGUGGCCCAAGGCAGCGGUUUGCUAAACCGUGGCUCGUUUAAAAGCGGGCCCGUGGGUUCGAAUCCCACACCCUCCG
rnacentral:tRNA from 1 species